rnacentral:tRNA from 1 species
UCCCUGGUGGCUCAGACGGUAAAGUGUCUGCUUGCAAUGUGGGAGACCCGGGUUCGAUUCCUGGGUCGGGAA